rnacentral:misc_RNA from 1 species
AACGCACCUUGCGCUCUCUGGUAUUCCGGAGAGCAUGCCUGUUUGAGUGUCAUGAACUCUUCAACCCACCAGUUUCUUGUUAAACCGGAUGGUGUUUGGAUUUUGAGUGUUGCUGGACUUUUAGUCGUAGCUCAUUCGUAAUACAUUAGCAUCUCAAUUUCGAACUUCGGAUUGACUCAGCGUGAUAGACUAUUCGCUGAGGACACCUUCGGGUGGCCGAAUGAGAAGACUUAGAAGCUUAUAAUCAGAUCUUAGUCAAUUUUAGAUUAGACCUCAGAUCAGGCAGGAUUACCCGCUGAACUUAA